rnacentral:rRNA from 1 species
UACGGAGGGGGUUAGCGUUGUUCGGAAUGACUGGGCGUAAAGCGCGCGUAGGCGGAUCAGGAAGUUGGGGGUGAAAUCCCGGGGCUCAACCCCGGAAUGGCCUUCAAAACUCCUGGUCUUGAGUUCGAGAGAGGUGAGUGGAAUUCCGAGUGUAGAGGUGAAAUUCGUAGAUAUUCGGAGGAACACCAGUGGCGAAGGCGGCUCACUGGCUCGACACUGACGCUGAAGUGCGAAAGCGUGGGGAGCAAACAGG